AUUUUGUACAAUGGGGGAAACCCUGAUCCAGCCAUCCCGCGUGUAUGAUGAAGGCCUUCGGGUUGUAAAGUACUUUUGGCCGAGAAGAAAAGGUAUCUCCUAAUACGAGAUACUGCUGACGGUACCUGCAGAAUACUCGCCGGCCAACUACGUGCCAGCAGCCGCGGUAAUACGUAGGGUGCAAGCGUUACUCGGAAUUACUGGCCGUAAAGCGUGUGUAGGAGGUGCGGAAAGAAAGAUGUGAAAUCCCAGGGCUCAACCUUGGAACUGCAUUUUUAACUGCCGAGCUAGAGUAUGUCAGAGGGGGGUAGAAUUCCACGUGUAGCAGUGAAAUGCGUAGAUAUGUGGAGGAAUACCGAUGGCGAAGGCAGCCCCCUGGGAUAAUACUGACGCUCAGACACGAAAGCGUGGGGAGCAAACA
rnacentral:rRNA from 1 species